AAAUUACCUACGUUACACUCCCAAACCCAUGUGAACAUUACCUCUAUGUUGCUUCGGCGGAGUCCGCCCCGGCGCCCGGAACCCCCUGCGGUCCCGCGGCCCGGAACCAAGGCGCCCGCCGGAGGCCACAAACUCUUCUGUUUUUACAGUUUCUUCUGAGUGUGCCGCAAGGCAGUAUACAAAUGAAUCAAAACUUUCAACAACGGAUCUCUUGGUUCUGGCAUCGAUAAAGAACGCAGCGAAAUGCGAUAAGUAAUGUGAAUUGCAGAAUUCAGUGAAUCAUCGAAUCUUUGAACGCACAUUGCGCCCGCCAGAAUUCUGGCGGGCAUGCCUGUUCGAGCGUCAUUUCAACCCUCGAGCUCCCCUUUCGGGGGGAGCCCGGCGUUGGGGACCCGGCGCUAACAACGCCGGCCCCGAAAUGGAGUGGCGGCCCGUCCGCGGCGACCUCUGCGUAGUAACAACCACUCGCACCGGGACCCGGGCGCGGCCACGCCGUAAAACACCCCACCUUCCGAAUGUUGACCUCGAAUCCAGGUAGGAAUACCCGCUGGAACUUGAAGCCUUAUUCAAAUUAAGCCGGGAAGGAA
rnacentral:rRNA from 1 species